rnacentral:misc_RNA from 1 species
GUGAAUCAUCGAAUCUUUGAACGCAAAUUGCACUCUCGGCUGAGAGUGUGCCUGUUUGAGGGUCAGCCUAUAAGAAAUCGACAUCGUUGCUGUAUCUCGAUGGCGGUCGGCAGAAAUUGGGUCAUCUUAAAUCCUUUUGGGUGUAAGCGACGUAAAAAUUUCUUUUUGUUUCCAUGAACGUGUCUAAGAUUUAUUUCUUUACACGUUUAAGGUAUCGGUUUUUAUUAGACUGGACCAUCAUAUCAGAUCGCGUCCAUAAUCUUUCAUUAACUGACCUCAGACAGGUAAGA